AUUGAACGCUGGCGGAAUGCUUUACACAUGCAAGUCGAACGGUAGAGGGGGCAACCCCUCGAGAGUGGCGAACGGGUGAGUAAUAUAUCGGAACGUGCCCAGUCGUGGGGGAUAACGUAGCGAAAGUUACGCUAAUACCUCAUACGAUCUAAGGAUGAAAGCGGGGGGUCGCAAGACCUCGCGCGAUUGGAGCGGCCGAUAUCAGAUUAGGUAGUUGGUGGGGUAAAGGCUCACCAAGCCAACGAUCUGUAGCUGGUCUGAGGGGACGACCAGCCACACUGGAACUGAGACACGGUCCAGACUCCUACGGGAGGCAGCAGUGGGGAAUUUUGGACAAUGGACGCAAGUCUGAUCCAGCCAUUCCGCGUGCAGGAUGAAGGCCCUCGGGUUGUAAACUGCUUUUGUACGGAACGAAAAGGUCUCUCUUAAUACGGGGGGCUCAUGACGGUACUGUAAGAAUAAGCACCGGCUAACUACGUGCCAGCAGCCGCGGUAA
rnacentral:rRNA from 1 species